rnacentral:tRNA from 1 species
GCCUGGCUGGCUUAGUCGGUAGAGCUUGUGACUCUUGAUCUCACGGUUGUGGGUUCAAGCCCACGUUAGGUG